ACACAGUGCAGAGAUCAUCUUAAUUUCAGUACCCGGAAGGAUAAUGGAGCAUAUAAUUAAGCAAUCAAUUUGCAAACACCUAGAAGAUAAUAAGGUGAUAAGUAACAGUCAGCAUGGAUUUGUUGAAACAAAUCGUGUCAAACCAACCUAAUAGCUUUCUUUGACAGGA